UAACCUGCCCAUCAGAAGGGGAUAACACUUGGAAACAGGUGCUAAUACCGUAUAACAAUCAAAACCGCAUGGUUUUGAUUUGAAAGGCGCUUUCGGGUGUCGCUGAUGGAUGGACCCGCGGUGCAUUAGCUAGUUGGUGAGGUAACGGCUCACCAAGGCCACGAUGCAUAGCCGACCUGAGAGGGUGAUCGGCCACAUUGGGACUGAGACACGGCCCAAACUCCUACGGGAGGCAGCAGUAGGGAAUCUUCGGCAAUGGACGAAAGUCUGACCGAGCAACGCCGCGUGAGUGAAGAAGGUUUUCGGAUCGUAAAACUCUGUUGUUAGAGAAGAACAAGGAUGAGAGUAACUGUUCAUCCCUUGACGGUAUCUAACCAGAAAGCCACGGCUAACUACGUGCCAGCAGCCGCGGUAAUACGUAGGUGGCAAGCGUUGUCCGGAUU
rnacentral:rRNA from 1 species